rnacentral:rRNA from 1 species
GGAAAGUUAGACGGGGGCCCGGCACAAGCGGUGGAGUAUGUGGUUAAUUCGAUGCAACGCGAAGAACCUUACCUGGUCUUGACAUCCCGGAGACCCUUAGGAAACUAGGGGGUGCUUCCAUCUGGAAGAAUCUGGAGACAGGUGCUGCAUGGCUGUCGUCAGCUCGUGUCGUGAGAUGUUGGGUUAAGUCCCGCAACGAGCGCAACCCUUGCCUUUAGUUGCCAGCAGUUCGGCUGGGCACUCUAAAGGGACUGCCGGUGUUAAACCGGAGGAAGGUGGGGAUGACGUCAAGUCCUCAUGGCCUUUAUGACCAGGGCUACACACGUACUACAAUGGCCGAUACAAAGGGCAGCGACACUGCGAGGUGAAGCCAAUCCCGUAAAAUCGGUCUCAGUCCGGAUUGGAGUCUGCAACUCGACUCCAUGAAGUUGGAAUCGCUAGUAAUCGUGGAUCAGCAUGCCACGGUGAAUACGUUCCCGGGCCUU